UUAUUGAGAGUUUGAUCCUGGCUCAGGACGAACGCUGGCGGCGUGCCUAAUACAUGCAAGUCGAACGCAUUUUGUUUCACCGGAGCUUGCUCCACAGAAACGAAAUGAGUGGCGGACGGGUGAGUAACACGUGGGUAACUUGCCCAUCAGAGGGGGAUAACACUUGGAAACAGGUGCUAAUACCGCAUAAUUCUUUUGACCGCAUGGUCGAAUGAUGAAAGGCGCUUUC
rnacentral:rRNA from 1 species